GUAAACACGGCUCCCAUUGGCCGCCCGCCAGCCCGCCCCGCGCCGCCCGCACCGAGCGAACGGCGGCCGCGCGGUUUCAAGGCGGCCCGCGGUAACGCCAUGAAAGCGGAGCGGACGGGCCGUUUCCAGGCUCCCCAUCAUCCAACCCCCCCCCUACAACCUUACACCCCCCCCCACGACCCCCCCCCCCCAUCCCCAAACCAUCCCCACGCGGCCACGGAGCGGGGAACGGAGCGGGAACCGAGCGGUAACGGGAUGAGGACGGGAACGGUGCGGGGUUAUGGGGCGGUAGGCACGGCAAUGGGGGAACGGAGUAACCGGGGGGGAGCGGUGCGGGACCGGGACGGCCGUGCGGGGUAACGUGGAGCCGCGGCCGGGCCGUUCGGGGCCGUUCGGAGCCAUUCGGUGCCGUUCCGGGGCCGUUCGGGGCUGUUCGGUGCCGUUCCGGGGCUGUUCGGUGCCGUUCGGUGCCGUUCCGGGGCUGUUCGGUGUUGUUCCGGGGCUAUUCGGGGCUGUUCGGUGCCGUUCCGGGGCUGUUCGGUGCCGUUCAGGGCUGUUCGGGGUCGUUCUGGGGCCAUUCGGUGCCGUUCGAGGCUGUUCAUUGCCGUUCCGGGCUGUUCGGUGCCGUUCCGGGCUGUUCGGUGCCGUUCCGGGGCUGUUCGGUGCCGCUGCGUCGCAGUCGGUGCCCGGAGCGUUGAGAAGCAGCUCCCCGGUCCUGCCUUUAUCCGCGGAAUAACAGCGUUGAAACCGCACCGAGCGCUGCGUGGAAGGCGGUUACCGUAACAGCCGCACCGGGAGCGAGCGAUACCGAGCGGGGAACGGCCGACAGAAUCCCGAGCACAGCGGGGACACGCGGCCCCGGCCCCGCAAAUAGAAACGAAGCCGUUUAUAUUAAUGGAUGUUUCUUUCCCCGCAGCGGAACGAACCGAAGCCGGGACGAACCGGGACGGAGCGGGUCGGGAGCAGCGCACGGCGGUGGGUGACGGUUUAAGUAGAAAUUAACCCGAGCUCCGAGCAUUUAGUGCUCCCAGCACAGCGAUGGCUCCGGUGCUGCCCCGUACGAUACCGGCCCGGGGAUCGCGUGUAGAUUCCGUCGGGUUAAUCAAUGAUGCAAAGCAGCAUCGGUUAAUUAAUUAAUUAAAGAGAUUUUAAUACCCAGCA